GAAGCUUGAGGAGCAGUAGCUGUCUUGAAGAAGCAGCUGCAGAGACAGCGAACUGUGACCCAGCUCUGAGAAAGAGGGCUGGAAACUCCCCAAUGACAGGGGGAAAUAUAUUGAAUUGGAGGUGGGGCCUGGAGAGCCAGCGUGUACUUCAGACUGAACAAACUGGAUCGCCUUUGGGGAAUAUUUUAUUUGCCUUUUGACUAUUGAGAGUUUAUUUUAGGAGAGCUGAAGAAGAGGAAAGUAGAAGCAGGGCAUUACAGAGACAGUCCUCACCACAAGGGGGCACAUGGGAGGCAGCCAACUCUGUUACAAUACCUUUAAAAUAACUCUUCCUCUCCUGGUAUUAGUGAUCGAGUUAACCAGCUAAUGUUUAUAUAGAAACUUGAUGAUUAAAGUAGCUAUUUAAGCACUAUAUCUAUAUCUAUCUAUCUAUCUAUCUAAAUAAUGCAUUGAAAUUAAACCCAUAGCUAAGUGUGUUUAUUGUAGGAUAUCUAAUAGGAAACCAUAUCAACUGUACCAUCCACAGAUAAAACUGAAAGAAUUUGAUACAAUAAGCCUCCCAGCUUUGGCAAAACAGUUGGGUAACUUUGGCUGGAGCCUGGAAUUAGGAUCUUCACAGCUAACAACUCAGGACAAUGUUUUGGGCUUCAUUCUGUUGCCUGAACUGAGGGGUGAAGGGGCAGAAAAAGGCAGACACGGCAAUGGCCAGUCCCAGAAGAGUCGUGCCUAACACAGACCUACGGAGCCAAACCUUUGCCUCUGCUCCAGUUGCUUUCUAGUAUUCUGGAAGAUGCACAGCAGCUGAAAGCCAGAGGAUCCAGGUCACUGAGGAUUCACCUGCAUCGAAGAAACCAGGCGGUAUAGAGCCAUCAUAGCAGAGUCCGCAUGAGUACAAGCACUCGUCAUAGUCUUCUACUUUGAAGAGAUUUUGGUCUUGAUCUUCUUGUAUGCUCACUCCCUUACUCAAGAGUGCAGGGUAAAAGUAGGGCAGAGAAUGGGCAUGUCUGAGGAGUCAUGGGUUUAAGUGACAACCUUGGCAUGCAAAUAUGGUGUUUUGCUGCUUACCCUUUUCUUGCCCUUAUUCCUGAUACUGGGCAUGAGUAAUUUGGUGCUCACACAAGAGCACUCGCAUUAAGGAAUAUCAGGUUUCCCCAUACAAUUUGUCCUGCUUGUUACUUUUUACCAGACACUUAUAGAAAUGCCUCUCCACACACCUGAAGCUCAAGAUCAAGCCCAUUUUGUUGUUGCAGUGCACAACCUUUGGGAUGGAGCAACCAUGGUAUGAUUUCCUCUCUAAAAAUCCCUUGCUCUUCUUCCGCUGAUUAGCAGGAUUUGAAU